AUGACGCAUCCAUCAAGCAGCAGGAGGACGGAGCCAUCCAGGCGAGAAGGUGCCGCACAAAGAGAGCAAAAGAGGGAGACAGAGGCAGCCGGCGAGGCAAAAGCACCUCCCGUAGGCUCCUGCACACAGAGAAGACGAGGAGACGCGCCCCUGGGACAGCGUCGAGAAGAUCGGAGAGCGCACCCAUGCAGCGGCACGUGCGCCAAGGGGAUGCAGGCAUGCGGCGAUGACAUCCUCACACGGAAGCAAAGCAGCGACGAGCAGAUGAAAGUGCCUGCGGGAGGACUUCCGGCGGUGCAAUAA
rnacentral:rRNA from 1 species